UGGGCAGUAUCAAAUUAGAGCUGCACCCAAAAAUGCUCGGCCAAACAAAAAAAAUUUCUGCCUUGAUCCAUUGAAAUGGACGGGGACGGAGGG
rfam:Bacillus sp. MTM 13 29, whole genome shotgun sequence.